GCUGCCUUGCGCACAAAAUGGGGCAAAACCCUAAAAAAUCAGAAUGGUUGGAAGGUCUGCCUAGGAUAGUCAUCAGUGUUUGUCUCUGCCUCAUCAAACUUAAUCUAACCCAAGAGCGCAUUUAACCAGACUGAGUACUGGAUUUCAAUACCGUCAACUCCAGAAAGCAAAAGCUUCUCCAGGUCACCCAGCUGGCCUCCCCGGGGAAGGAGGAGGCAGAGGAGCGAUUCCUGCUGGGGGAAGCAGCACGCACACACCUGGCAGCCCUGGAGCACAUUCCCUGUGCAGGAGCCAGGUGUGUGAGCUCCCCCUGCCUGGCCCUGCCCCGAGGGCCCCUCUCCCCAGCCCCUGCAGCCCCUGCAGCCCCUGCAGCCCCUGCAGCCCUUGAUCUCUGCUGCUGGGGAGUGGGGAUGCCACUCAGCAGGAGCCACGGUCGCAUUUUGCAGCCAGGACUCCAGUUUGGGAUCAGGGGGAGUCGAGUGCGGUUUCACCCAGCAGCCUUUAGUAAUGUCUCAGCUCUGUUAAGCUGCCCACAAUUUCAUCCAGACAUCUCUUUCAGAACAGCCCUGCAUCUUCAUUACCUUCCCCUCAAGCCAUCUGGUCUCCCAACCUGACCUUUUUAAGAAAGAUUGGUUAAAAAAACUGGAGCAGUCCCUGAACAGAAGACCUUGCGUGUCAUGUUUAAGCCCAGAGCAAAUUUUUACGUCCAAGCUGUGAAACCUUGAAAACAAAGAUUUAUAAUUGAGAUUCUGGCUGAAGCAGAGUGAACAGAGACGGUCUAAUUAAAUUCUGUGGUGGGUAUAAUUAACCGAUUUAUUCAUUUAUUACCCUUUAUGCAGCUAAUGCAGGCCCAAGCAUUGCCAUUUGUUUAUGGGGAAUGUGUUACCUGCCUGCUUGGCUCGGGCUGUGGCAGCCAGACCCAUGGUGAUGAUCUGGAGGGACUGAUGGAUUAAUUUUCAGAAGCCAACACAGCUCCUGAAUGAGUCAGCUGGGGAGGAGCAGAGAGGAAAGCAAAGACUCAGGGUUCUCCUUUGGGUUCCUUUGCAGAGUUGCCAAGGGACUUUGAUCAAAUGGGAUGGUUUGGGAGAAAAAGGAGGUUUGGGGUUUUGUCUAAGAGCAGAGUGGCUCUCUGGUGCCAAACACAGCUGGAACUGUGGCACUGAGUCCCCUGCUGUGCACUAGGAAGGGCUACAGGAACAUCCACACUGACUCUGUGGAUUUCUGCCUUCCCUCCUUCAGAGCUCAGCGUGGAAAUGGCACUUCCAAACCCGUAACACAGAUAACUACUCACACAUCCUUUGGGAGAGCCUCAUCUGACUAAAAGCCUGUCUGGCUUUUCCAGAAAGAAGCUGUUUCUUUUCACCCAAGACUCAUUUCACUUCGCUUUCUUGCAGCCAUCAUGAGAUUAAAAAAAAACCAACAAAACAACAAUGAAUCAACCAGAGAUUAUUUUUCAUGAAAGUUUAAUCAGGCACUGUCCCCUUCCUAUGCCUGUGUGAGCAAACCUCGAUGAGCAUGUAGAGCCUGAACAUGGAGCUAAAAACCACCUGCUUGAGAGGCAAGGAGUGCAGGGAAUGGCUUUGCUGGCUGGCACCUCUCUACCUGGGCAGGCUGUCCUGCUGCAGAUGUGCUGCCUGCAGCUCAGCCCCCGGCUCCCUCAGCCCAUCCAUCUCCGAGGCAGUGAAA